rnacentral:lncRNA from 1 species
AUAGUUUCCUGUUGAGAAAACUGAAACGUAAUCUUUGGGUGCAAACCACGUAUCAUAACAAACUAAAGAAAUUGAAUAAUAGAAGAAAUGCGAAAAAAACUGAGAAGACAGCAUGAAGAAAAUGUAGAGAGAAAGAAGAGAAAAUGGAAAACUAAAAUGUCAAAAAUAAAAAGUAAAAAGGUAAAAGAGUUAUCCUCCUAAGACCUUAAAUGAUAAGGCUGGAAAGACAUCAGGUCGGUCAGGGGUAGGUGGAAUUUUCCAAUUUUUCAAAAUAUAUUUAUACAUAUGCACGCAACCACUGAAAAUUUCUGACCUGGAGUUCAAUAGAGAGUUAGGGAUCUCUGAUCUGAACAGGAUCUGCGCUCUUUCAGCCAAAGUCUAUAUUUAUUUGAUCUGUUCACAUAAGAUAUGGAUUUUUCAAUUACCUUCCAUUUAAUCCCAUGUGGCGUUUCGUUAUCUUUCAAACUCCAUACGUAGCUAGCCAACUUAGUAGCUUUACUUUCGUCCCUCUGUUGGAAGGAGCUGAUGUGAUUAGCAGAGCGAUUUUUCAAUUCACCUUCACAUAAUCCAAUAUAGGUCUUCCUAUCGCUUGUAUUAUGAUUUCGGAUUGUAGUGACUUCUGCCUAUUCCUGACUGACUUCAUAUCUUUCCAGCCUUAUCAUUUAAGCUCUAAGGUGGAGAGCUCUUUUACCUUUUCUGACCUUUUUACACUCUAGUUUCUGUUUUCCACUUUCCAUUUUCUGUUUUUUGCUUUCCAUUGUUUACUGUCUGCAUUUUCUGCACGCUGCCUUAGUUUUUUUCGAGUUCCUUUAAUUAUUCAAUUUCUUUAGUAAUGAUAAUUAGUUUGUGCCUGAGGAAUAUUUUGGAGUUUUCUCAACACAUGAAACUAUUAGCAGCACUUAAAGACAUGUAUUGUGUCCUUUAAGUAAAUAGUAUUCAUCUCUCACCAGAUGGAGUACUUUUUGUUGAAUUUUCUAUCAUGGAACAGUACAUUAUAUAUACAUAUAUAUAUAUGUGUGUGUGUGUGUGUGUAUAUAACCUUCUGUCUGUAUUUAUUCAUGUGUAUAUAUACAUAUUUCUUUUCUAUAUAAUCAUUUGUGUGUGUGUGUAUGUAUGUAUAUAUAUAUUUUAUCUGUAUAUAUAUAUUUAUGCGUAUAUAUGUAUUCUGUAUUUAUUUGUGCAGUCCAUCAACCAUGGCCCCUUUGAUGGAUGGAUGCCUAGCAGGACAUAGCUCAAUGCGAGAUGACCCAGAAGCAAUGGACACAUCUUCUGUUGCCCUCACUCUACCAAAACGGUCUCGAUCACCAGCGAUAGCAGCCAGCAGCAGGGUAGACAACCCAUGCCCUCCACUCGACAGUCGAGGCCCUCGUCCCAAUUACCGGCGGCACUGACAUUCAUUCAAUAUAGGAAACACUUUUACUACAAACUCGUUGUUG